rnacentral:rRNA from 1 species
GACGAACGCUGGCGGCGUGCUUAACACAUGCAAGUCGAGCGAUGAAGCACCUUCGGGUGUGAAUUAGCGGCGAACGGGUGAGGAACACGUGAGAAAUCUGCCUUCAACACUGGGAUAACUCCGGGAAACCGGGGCUAAUACCGGAUAUGAAACCUGCGGGCAUCCGCGGGUUUGGAAAGUUUUUCGGUUGAAGAUGAUCUCGCGGCCUAUCAGCUUGUUGGUGAGGUAAUGGCUCACCAAGGCGACGACGGGUAGCCGGCCUGAGAGGGCGACCGGCCACACUGGGACUGAGACACGGCCCAGACUCCUACGGGAGGCAGCAGUGGGGAAUAUUGGGCAAUGGAGGAAACUCUGACCCAGCGACGCCGCGUGAGGGAUGAAGGCCUUCGGGUUGUAAACCGUCUUUCAGUAGGGAAGAAGCGAAAGUGACGGUACCGUACAGAAGAAGCACCGGCUAACUAUGUG